rnacentral:rRNA from 1 species
UACGGAGGGCGCAAGCGUUGUUCGGGAUCACUGGGCGUAAAGCGCGUGCAGGCGGCUUGGUAAGUCGGAUGUGAAAUCCCGGAGCUCAACUCCGGAACUGCACCCGAUACUGCCUCGCUAGAGUCCCGGAGAGGAUGGCGGAAUUUCCGGUGUAGAGGUGAAAUUCGUAGAUAUCGGAAGGAACACCAGCGGCGAAGGCGGCCAUCUGGACGGUGACUGACGCUCAGACGCGAAAGCGCGGGGAGCAAACAGG